GAGUUUGAUCAUGGCUCAGGACGAACGCUGGCGGCGUGCUUAACACAUGCAAGUCGAGCGAGAAAGCACCUUCGGGUGUGAGUACAGCGGCGAACGGGUGAGUAACACGUGGGCAACCUGCCCCAGAGACUGGGAUAACGUCCCGAAAGGGACGCUAAUACCGGAUGAUGCGCGACCUGCCAAGUGGGUCGCGCCAAAUGGUAGCGUAAGCUUCUACUCUGGGAUGGGCCCGCGCCGGAUUAGCUCGUUGGUGAGGUAACGGCUCACCAAGGCGACGAUCCGUAGCUGGUCUGAGAGGACGAUCAGCCACACUGGGACUGAGACACGGCCCAGACCCCUACGGGAGGCAGCAGUGGGGAAUCUUGCACAAUGGGGGAAACCCUGAUGCAGCGACGCCGCGUGAGCGAUGAAGCCCUUCGGGGUGUAAAGCUCUUUCGACGGGAACGAUAAUGACGGUACCCGGAGAAGAAGCUGCGGCUAACUACGUGCCAGCAGCCGCGGUAAUACGUAGGCAGCAAGCGUUGUUCGGAGUUACUGGGCGUAAAGAGUGCGUAGGCGGUUCCGUAAGUUUGGUGUGAAAUCUCCCGGCUUAACUGGGAGGGUGCGCCGAAAACUGCGGAGCUGGAGUGUGGGAGAGGUAAGCGGAAUUCCUGG
rnacentral:rRNA from 1 species